UACGGAGUGUGCAAGCAUUGAUCGGAAUUACUGGGCGUAAAGGGCGCGCAGGCGGACAGGAAAGUCAGAUGUGAAAUUCCGGGGCUCAACCCCGGAGCUGCAUUUGAAACUUCCUGUCUAGAGUACAGUUAGGGAAAACGGAAUUCCACGUGUAGCGGUGAAAUGCGUAGAUAUGUGGAAGAACACCGGUGGUGAAGACGGUUUUCUGGGCUGAAACUGACGCUGAGGCGCGAAAGCAAGGGGAGCAAACAGG
rnacentral:rRNA from 1 species